CGCAGUAGGAAUAACCAGAGGCAGAAUGAAUAGUUAGGAGACUGUAAGUCUCUGAGGCAGUAGUCUAGGUAAGAUAUACGAAGACUUUCACUAUUAUUUGAGAGGAACAUUCAAAAAGAAGUGUGGAAAGUGAAAUUAAGAAUAUAUCAUUAAUGAUCGCAUAUUAGGGGAACAAAGAAAUCAAGGACAAUUUGGCAUUUUCAGAUUAUGUGAAUGGGACUCUACCUUUGGCAUUACAGGCUCAGUUUGCGAAGAGAGAACAAAAUUGAACCCUGAGGGAAGAUAUUUGUUCCAAGAAGGAAUGGAGAACAAUGAAACACACAAACUGCAGUCUAAGUUUUUUCCCAUGAAAUGUGAGAAGUGACAUGUGCUUUUGGCCCACUCCUGGUCAUAUAGCUGGACACAUCCAUAAUAAAGCACAAGGAUAGAGCAGAGCUACAGAAUAGAAGCAGAUUCCAUCCCUGGAUCCUGAGGUACCAUGUGAAGGAUAGUCACUUGGAAAGUAGGGACACCACACCAAUGUUGAACUCUUUUUUAAAGAACUUCUAUUUGAGCUCUCCUGUUUUUCAUUUGAGCCAUUUUAAAUUCGGAUCUAUUUACCCCAGAUUACUUUGCAUACCAUAAAUAUUUUGUUGAACGUUUUGAAAUUGUUAUUGACUAUUUUUGACAUUCAAAAAUGAAAAUUUCAUAUGAA